rnacentral:misc_RNA from 1 species
CUUUCCAAGUUCUUCAGUAAUGGGUGCUUCUUCAGCUUGCAUGGUUGUUGAGGGACCUAGAAUGCUUUUCAGAGUCUCAAAGACCUCCUCCUCUAGCCUCCCAGCGUCAAUCUGCAAAACUAGCCCUUUUCUUUUGUAAUAAUGAACCACGGGAAGAGUAUGCUCCUGAAAAUAUCUAAACCUCUUCCUUACAGACUCAGAAUUGUCGUCAACUCUUCCCUGAUUCCUGCUUAAGAUUCUCCUUUCCCUCUCUUCUUCCGAACACUCAAAGAACAGAACAAGUUCUGGCUCUGUUUUGGUAGCAGAUUCAAAAGCUGCUCUAAUCUCCUCGUCACGAGGGAAACCAUCAAGAAUAAAUUUAUCAUUUCCACUUUCUUCAAUUGCUUUCUGAAGAAUCUCCAUUGUUAUGUCUGGAGGCACACUCUUGCCCUCCUUGAUCAUGGCUUCAAUCAUAGGCCCAUUUACAGGGUCGCUUUUAAUGGUCUGGCGAAGUAGGUCUCCACUGCUGAGAUGAGUAUAGCCGACUUCUUUAGCGAUCUUAGCACACUGGGUGCUCUUUCCCCCACCAGGGCCACCUAAAACAAAUACAACUACAAGCUUUUUCUCUGUUACAGUCUCCUUGGCUGUCUCCUCAGGCACAGCCUCUUUUGUUUCUUUCGCACAAACACUUUCCACUGUUUUGUUCUCAGACAAAAUCUCAUCGAAUGUCUCUUUCUCAGAGAACUCCAAUUCUGUUGUUGUAUUUUCAGACACAAAUUCAUUAUUUGUUGUCUUGUCCACACUCACAGUCUCAAUGGCAUGUUCUCCAAUCACCAUUUCACUUGUUUCCUCCUUCAUAUCACCCAUGGCUGCCGAUCAAAUUCCGAUCAA